UAUUUCAUACCAUAACAUCAGUUUGUACAGGUAGAAAUGUUAAGCUUUUAUGAGUUCAAAACCAUCUCUCUGUUUAUGUUCUGAAAGUGCUUCUCGAAUUUUUAGUCACUGCAUCCUGAUAGUUCAUUAAAGUUCAUGAUGCAGAUUCUGGGCUGAGUGUUAUUUUUGUUAAUGAGGGUAAAUCCCAUUAAAAAAAUAUCCUAAGUAAAAUGUAGUGCUUUUCUAAGCAUCACUGUCACCUGGUAAUCAUUUCAAACCAGAUGUGCUUAAGCCUCUCUCCAAUAAUUUCCCAGGAGACAAUGCUAGUGUUGAUUUUCUGUACACACUGUGAAAACUAUUGCUUGAACAGUUAGCAUCAGGAACAUUGUGUCAUAUGAGAUCACUAUUGACACCACCUUUCCAAAAUUCAGAGAUCCCUGGCACAGAUCAUAAAGUAUAAUCUAAUCUCUUCAGAAAGUGCUGUGUUGUGUCUGGAAACCUGGCCAAAGCCUACAUACAUCCUGCCUCAGCUUUCCUGAUCUUCGGGUUAAAGCAUCACUGAUUUGUGACUUAUACGGUGCCCUGGCUUCAAGAAGAUCUUUCUCAGUUAUCUUUCUCUUCCAAUGAUAAGAAAUUCUCCUGCAUUAUACAGGAACGACUGCAGAUGCAUUACCACAACUUUGCAGAAAUCUUCCUAAUCUGAAAAACAAACCACAUUUAAUUUAUCAGAAAUGUACAUAUGAAUACAAGUGCCCUCAGGAGUAGAGGCAUCAAAUCCUCAUUGGAGUUAACACAGGAUCCUAGCAUAAUCAUCAUCCGAGGCUUCAUCCAGCAACUGAGGAAAGCAAAUGCAGAAACCCACAGCCAAACAUUAGAUGGAGUUUAAGAGAAUCCUGCAGAAGAGGGAAGGAAGAAUUGAAGGAGCCAGUGUUGGAAUCAAGGACAUCACAAGAAAACCCACAGAAUCAACUAACCAGGGCUCAUAGGGGCUAACCUAGAUCAAACCUACAAUCAGGGAGUCUAUAGAUCUGGCCAAGGUCUUCUGCAUAUA